rnacentral:rRNA from 1 species
UACGGAGGGGGUUAGCGUUGUUCGGAAUUACUGGGCGUAAAGCGCACGUAGGCGGAUCAGAAAGUUGGGGGGUGAAAUCCCGGGGCUCAACCCCGGAACUGCCUCCAAAACUCCUGGUCUUGAGUUCGAGAGAGGUGAGUGGAAUUCCGAGUGUAGAGGUGAAAUUCGUAGAUAUUCGGAGGAACACCAGUGGCGAAGGCGGCUCACUGGCUCGAUACUGACGCUCAUGUGCGAAAGUGUGGGAGCAACAGGAUUAGAUACCCGGUAGUCC